rnacentral:rRNA from 1 species
GAUGAACGCUGGCGGCGUGCUUAACACAUGCAAGUCGAGCGAAGAGAUGCGGAUCUCGCGCCGCUGACGUUACCGACGGGUGAGUGACUCACACGUGGCUUACCCUCAUCUAUGACUUAGAUAACUGCGACAAACCGUAGUAAAUACCGGAUACGAUCACCACCCGCAUGGUGCUGUAGUGAUAUACGGUUUUUCUGUGACCUCUCGACGUAUCCGCGCCGCAUUGGCUUGUUGGUAGGGUAACGGCUUACCAAGGCAACGAUGCGUAGCCGACGUGAGAGGGUGAUCGCCCACACGGGAACGGGAACGCGGUCCAGAGUCCUGCGGGAGGCAGCAGUAGGGAAUCUUACGCAAUGGGCGAAAGCAUGACGGAGCGACGCCGCGUGAGUGAUGGAGGUCUUCGGAUCGUAAAAAUCGGUUAUUAGGGGUAAACAAAUGUGUAAGGAAAUGAGGACAACGUGACGGUACCUAAUCAGGAAGCCCCGGCUAACUACGUG